rnacentral:rRNA from 1 species
GAUGAACGCUGGCGGCGUGCCUAAUACAUGCAAGUCGAGCGAACGGACGAGAAGCUUGCUUCUCUGAUGUUAGCGGCGGACGGGUGAGUAACACGUGGAUAACCUACCUAUAAGACUGGGAUAACUUCGGGAAACCGGAGCUAAUACCGGAUAAUAUUUUGAACCGCAUGGUUCAAAAGUGAAAGACGGUCUUGCUGUCACUUAUAGAUGGAUCCGCGCUGCAUUAGCUAGUUGGUAAGGUAACGGCUUACCAAGGCAACGAUGCAUAGCCGACCUGAGAGGGUGAUCGGCCACACUGGAACUGAGACACGGUCCAGACUCCUACGGGAGGCAGCAGUAGGGAAUCUUCCGCAAUGGGCGAAAGCCUGACGGAGCAACGCCGCGUGAGUGAUGAAGGCCUUCGGAUCGUAAAACUCUGUUAUUAGGGAAGAACAUAUGUGUAAGUAACUGUGCACAUCUUGACGGUACCUAAUCAGAAAGCCACGGCUAACUACGUGCCAGCAGCCGCGGUAAUACGUAGGUGGCAAGCGUUAUCCGGAAUUAUUGGGCGUAAAGCGCGCGUAGGCGGUUUUUUAAGUCUGAUGUGAAAGCCCACGGCUCAACCGUGGAGGGUCAUUGGAAACUGGAAAACUUGAGUGCAGAAGAGGAAAGUGGAAUUCCACGUGUAGCGGUGAAAUGCGCAGAGAUAUGGAGGAACACCAGUGGCGAAGGCGACUUUCUGGUCUGUAACUGACGCUGAUGUGCGAAAGCGUGGGGAUCAAACAGGAUUAGAUACCCUGGUAGUCCACGCCGUAAACGAUGAGUGCUAAGUGUUAGGGGGUUUCCGCCCCUUAGUGCUGCAGCUAACGCAUUAAGCACUCCGCCUGGGGAGUACGACCGCAAGGUUGAAACUCAAAGGAAUUGACGGGGACCCGCACAAGCGGUGGAGCAUGUGGUUUAAUUCGAAGCAACGCGAAGAACCUUACCAAAUCUUGACAUCCUUUGACAACUCUAGAGAUAGAGCUUUCCCCUUCGGGGGACAAAGUGACAGGUGGUGCAUGGUUGUCGUCAGCUCGUGUCGUGAGAUGUUGGGUUAAGUCCCGCAACGAGCGCAACCCUUAAGCUUAGUUGCCAUCAUUAAGUUGGGCACUCUAAGUUGACUGCCGGUGACAAACCGGAGGAAGGUGGGGAUGACGUCAAAUCAUCAUGCCCCUUAUGAUUUGGGCUACACACGUGCUACAAUGGACAAUACAAAGGGCAGCGAAACCGCGAGGUCAAGCAAAUCCCAUAAAGUUGUUCUCAGCUCGGAUUGUAGUCUGCAACUCGACUACAUGAAGCUGGAAUCGCUAGUAAUCGUAGAUCAGCAUGCUACGGUGAAUACGUUCCCGGGUCU